GACGAACGCUGGCGGCGUGCCUAAUACAUGCAAGUAGAACGCUGAAGGAGGAGCUUGCUUCUCUGGAUGAGUUGCGAACGGGUGAGUAACGCGUAGGUAACCUGCCUGGUAGCGGGGGAUAACUAUUGGAAACGAUAGCUAAUACCGCAUAAGAGUAGAUGUUGCAUGACAUUUGCUUAAAAGGUGCAAUUGCAUCACUACCAGAUGGACCUGCGUUGUAUUAGCUAGUUGGUGGGGUAACGGCUCACCAAGGCGACGAUACAUAGCCGACCUGAGAGGGUGAUGGGCCACGCUGGGACUGAGACACGGCCCAGACUCCUACGGGAGGCAGCAGUAGGGAAUCUUCGGCAAUGGACGGAAGUCUGACCGAGCAACGCCGCGUGAGUGAAGAAGGUUUUCGGAUCGUAAAGCUCUGUUGUAAGAGAAGAACGAGUGGGAGAGUGGAAAGUUCACACUGUGACGGUAUCUUACCAGAAAGGGACGGCUAACUACGUG
rnacentral:rRNA from 1 species